AUGCACACCGGCACCAAUAUACCAAGUUUGGAGACAAUUGGAGCCAUAGUUGCUGGAUCUUGGUGUGUUUCAAAGCUUUUUUGGUUUGAAAGGUGAGAUGGUUUUGAAAGGUGUAUAUUUUGAUAUAUACUUGAUUUGCUUGGUGUCCGAAACAAGCUGAGGGAAAAGCUAUUUAUAGUGGUUGCAUGAGUGGGUCUGGUCAUAUUAUAUGAUGUAACAUGUGAAUGUGAAAUUGAUUUUGAGAUCAAAGGAUUUGCUAGGGUAAAGAUAGUGACCAAUAUUUCUCUCUCUAUCUCAGCCGUUGAUUAAGUUUUCGUAAUUGUGUUCUUAAUAAAUCGAUGGUCCAUACGGCGAAGCUCAUUUGAAAAUACAUUUUUUUGUAAUUAUUAUGGGUAAAUUAAAUUAAAUAGGUAAAAGUAAACACACAAAGAUUUAUAUGCACUCAACAAAUCACGUGGAUGGUUUUUUGGGGUGUUUGGGUUGGGUUAGGGGUGUUUUUCGGCCGGAACGGAUCGGAAACCACUGUUCCGAAUUCCGUUCCGAAGCUUUUCGGAAUUACCUUUUAGUUCCGAGUCCGAUUCCGAAAUUUCGGAAUGUACUAACUCUAUUCCGAUGCGGAAUUUUCGGCAUUAUCGGAGUUUUCGGAAGUUAAUAUUUUCGGAAUUUUCGGAUAAUAGUUUCGGCAUUUUCGGAUAAUAAUAUUGGAAAUCAAAUUUUGAAAUUUUCUUGUGAAUCAUGAUUAAGCCAACCAAACAGGAAAAAAAAUUCCAGAAGAAUUCCAAUGUUUACAUUCAAAUGACAUAAUGUUCAAAUUUAAACUAGUCCACAAUAAAAACAGAAAAUGAAAACUACAAGUACAACAUUUAACAUAGGAAUGAAAACUAUGUUAAUAUUGGAAUGAAAACUAUGUUAAUAUAAUAUAAUAUAACAUUGGAAGCUACCUAGAUCUAACAUUGGAAUGAAAACUAUGUUAAUAUAAUAUAAGAAUAUGUAUUGUUCAUCUUUAGUACAACAUUUAUAUUAUAUUAUAUUUUACAUAUAUAUAUAUAUAUAUCAUGUGAAUAUACUUGAUAAAAAAUAAUGUUAUAUAUACUUUAUCUUGGAUACUACUACAUACUUACUAUUAGGGUUCAAUCCCAAUGUGUUUCUAUGAUCAUCGCUAUUUUUUAAUUUUCAUAAUCAUGAUUCAUGCAUGAACAAGAGUUUGAUACCAAUUUGUAUUUGAUACAACAUGUCAAUGUCCUACCUUUUUUAAGGGUAAGUUACCUAUUGAUGUACCUAACUUUUUUGGUACCCCCUAUUGUUUAUGUUCACAUUAUUAAGAAAAUAGUACUACAUUAGCACCUUGGCAAUUGAUUAUAAAGAAAAUAAGUUUAUAAUUAAAUGCAUGACCUCAUACCCCAAUGAGUCCUAUUCAAGAAAUUGAGUUAGAAUUAAAAGAAAAAAAAAAAUCAAUACACUACGUAAUUUAGAUCAAUUCAAAAUUGGUUGCAUUACAAAUUUUUUUUUUCCUUUUACUAAUAUUUUUAAAUGUACUUAAAUUUUUUUCAUUAUGUAUGUAUAAUGUAUAUAUAAUGUUCGCCAAUAAUAUCAAAGAAAACUUGUGUCUUUGGUUGGUUGUGACAGAACUAUGGACAAAUUAAAAAUUGUGGGAAUGCAUUAAAUGUUUUGCAUAUAAAUUAAAUAUAUUGAUUGUUGUCUAAACUUUUGUAGGAUUAAUUCAAAAUAUUUCGGAAUAAAUCGGAAUUUCUAGAUCGGAAUGUUUUUCAAAUAUUUGGAAUUUUUAAAAUCGAAAUAUAUUAGGAAUAUAUCGGAAUUAUUGGAUCGGAAUCAGUUCGGAACAUUUUGGAAUAUUUCGGAUCGGAAAUUUCAGAAAUUUCGGAAGUUCCAUGUACAUUCCGAAUCCGAUCCAAUUUUUUUCGGAAAUUUCAGAUUUCGGCAUUUACGAAAUUCGGAUUUGUCGGAGCCGGAUUUUUUUGGAAAUAUUCGGACCGGAAUCGGUCGGAAUCGGAUUUUCCAAUCCAACUUGCACCCCUAGGUUGGGUUGUGGGUUUUUCCCUUUUUUUUUUUUUUUUUUUUUUUUUGUCUUUAGUUUGACCAAAAGAGAUAAGGUUUUCCAAAUGUUGUGUCUUGAUUGUGUUCCAUCAAAUUCAACCUUCCAUAAACAGCUCUAAAAAAUUAGGUGAAGUGCUUCUGCCAACUAAGCUAUGUUGUGUCUUGUUUGUGUUCCAUCAUCAACCUCUACAAAUUAGGUUUGAUGCUGUUCAACUGCGUCUAGCAUUCACCUUUUGUCAUUUGUGUUUGUGAUUUUGCCGGUUUAAGAAAAGUUAUUAUUUUCUCAUUAAUUUUUACAAUUUGGAAUAUUUUCAGGGCCGAUAGCAAUGAAGAUGGAAGAAUCACAAGGGAAGGGGUGCAAGAGGUAAAAUAAAAUAAAAAUUGUUGACUGCAGGAAACUAAUAAAAUCCCAUCUAACAUUUGCUUUUGUAGCAAGUUAUUUAUUCCUCUCCUUGAUCCAAAAAAAAAAAGUUAUUUAUUCCUCACAAAGCCAAAUAAAUGUUGCUUUCAUUCAAUUGUUACAGCUUAUAAUGCUCAGUGCUUCAUUACCAAUAGACGAACAAGAUCCUGAAAACCUCUAUUUACAAAAAAAGAUGUGAGGAAAAAAAUCCCGAGUACAGCCGCCCGGCCAUACAAUUUUUUAAUAAAAACUUUUGUAUAGCCGAGCGGCUAUACUCUUUUUAUUUAAAAAAAAAGGCGCGCAUCGCCGCAAGGCUAUACUAUUUUUAUUAUAAAAAAUUUGAGUAUAGCCGGGCGGCUAUACUAUUUGUAUAAAAAGGGGUCCGCAUGGCGCCGCGUGGCUACACUUUUUAAAAGUAAUAAAACCAUAGUAUAGCCAUGCGGCUAUACGAGUUUAAAAUCGUAGUAUGGCCGUCCGGCUUUACGCUUUUUAUUUAAAAUAAGUAUAGCCGCUCGGCUAUACUGUUAUUAGAAACCGAAGAGUAUAGCCCCGCGGCUUUACCGUUUUAAAAUUUUUAUAAGCGUUCCUAUACUGAUUGUUCUCCAACAAACAUUUUCUAGUAUGGCAAAGCUUGAAGUACAUCGGUAAAUUUGCUUGGUUUGUUGGAGGACAUCAUCAGAUUCAGCCUUGGGUGAGUUGAUUGCAAAUCGUGCUUGAAGUUGAUUAUGAAGUUUUAAAUUUAUGUGGGCUUUUGCAAAGAAAUACAAACUUCCGUCCACAUUACUCAGCGAGCAGGGUAAUAAGGUGAGGAAAUGGGGAGUGCCAUCAGAUCUGUUUGGGACAUUGCCUGGCAGACAGAUUCAACAACCAGUUCCAACCUCAGAAGCAUACUGAUGAAACUCUCAAACUCCUUCAAAGCCUUUAA
rnacentral:lncRNA from 1 species